rnacentral:rRNA from 1 species
AGGGAAUCUUGCGCAAUGGGCGAAAGCCUGACGCAGCCAUGCGGCGUGGAUGAUGAAGGUCUUAGGAUUGUAAAAUCCUUACAGCGGGGACGAUAAUGACGGUACCCGCAGAAGAAGCCCCGGCUAACUUCGUGCCAGCAGCCGCGGUAAUACNAAGGGGGCUAGCGUUGCUCGG